AGUGGGCAGGGGAGACAGACAGUAAACAAAGGCAGAAACCUCAGAGAAGGAUGCUCUCGACUCUGCUUCGAUCUGAUGCUUUAUUCUGAGUCAUGGUAGAAAUUCAGUGAAGGAGGGAUUAGUGUUUUUUUUUUUUUCCCUGUGAGGACCAGAUAAGCAGAACAAAGGUGCAAUUGGAUGACACCUGCUCCAAGCAAGAAGUAAGGUUUUUGAGCUUCACCUCCAAUGAGAACAUUUCCUGAGUUCCUUGAAAGGCUGGAGAGUGGUUCACAGAACACAUAUAGUUUUGUACCUUCAGACACCAGGUUCUAGUGCUUUUUUUUUCUUUUUUUACUUGCACCUGCUUACCUGAUACCAAGUCUGCAUCUGAGUGAACUCAAACUGAGAUGGCUAUUGUGCUGAAUCCUCAUGGAAGACCAGCAUCCACUUCCAGGAAGAUAACCUGGAGCCAACAGAAGGGGGUGAAUGCUUCAGUUUUGUAGAGCUCUGAUGAGGAUACAGUCCAGGAGAGGUCUUUAGUUCCAUAUGUAGCACCAGGGAUGACUCAUUCACAGGAAAACACAAGUGAAAAAUCAAGGUCCAGGAUGGUUAAGUCAUUUACAGAGCUGAUGAAUGCUGUAUAUCUGAGUGUGAGAGAAAGAAAGAGAACUUGGAGUCAGUUUAACUUCCCUGGCCCUUUCAUUUUUACAGAUCACAUGAUUUUGUACGUUACUUCUGAAUUAAAACAUUCUCAUCUCUUCUGCCAAGGUAGAGAUUCCUGUCUCCUUGGCCAAGUGCUUUCUUCAGACUCAUCCUGGCCCAAAGAACCAGUGCGGAUACUUUGCUGUAUAGAUCCUGCCAAGGCAGGGCCUUUGGGGCAGGGCCUCUGACCAUCUUGGUGGAGAAGAUCAUCAAUCAAAGAACACUGUUUCUGUUGUCACUCACAUUGACUGUCCUGUUAUCUCCCUGAGAAUUUUGUUUCACAAUCACGGGACUCCAGUUUCUAUUGAAUACAGUUGGGCUGUGGGUCGGUAAGAGACUCUGACCUCUCCUUGUCUGUGAGAGGCUCUAAACUCUGUCAGCACUCAAUAAAGGCAGAAUAUCUAC
ensembl:lncRNA